GACGUGAGGGUGAUCUGGCUGUGACAUCUGUCAUCCCACUGAUCACAGGCUUGAUCAGUGGAUCUGACUGGCUAGGCAAGUGUCCCCUUCCUCCCUUGUGGUUC
rnacentral:sRNA from 1 species